rnacentral:rRNA from 1 species
CAAAAAAAAAAGGAAUACAUCGGAAUCUACUUUUUCGUGGGGGAUAACGUAGGGAAACUUACGCUAAUACCGCAUACGACCUACGGGUUAAAGCAUGGGAUCUUCGGACCUUGCGCGAUUGAAUGAGCCGAUGUCGGAUUAGCUAGUUGGCGGGGUAAAGGCCCACCAAGGCGACGAUCCGUAGCUGGUCUGAGAGGAUGAUAAGACACACUGGAACUGAGACACGGUCCAGACUCCUACGGGAGGCAGCAGUGGGGAAUAUUGGACAAUGGGCGCAAGCCUGAUCCAGCAAUACCGCGUGGGUGAAGAAGGCCUUUUUUUUUUUAAAUGCUUCU